rnacentral:rRNA from 1 species
AUUGAACGCUGGCGGCAGGCCUAACACAUGCAAGUCGGGCGCGCGGCGGACGGGUGAGUAAUGUAUGGGAAUCUGCCUGAUGGAGGGGGAUAACUACUGGAAACUGUAGCUCAUACCGCAUACCAUCGGAUGCACCCAUAUGGGAUUAGCUAGUAGGUAAGGUAACGGCUUACCUAGGCGACGAUCCCUAGCUGGUCUGAGAGGAUGAUCAGCCACACUGGGACUGAGACACGGCCCAGACUCCUACGGGAGGCAGCAGUGGGGAAUAUUGCCCAAUGGGCGCAAGCCUGAUGCAGCCAUGCCGCGUGUAUGAAGAAGGCCUUCGGGUUGUAAAGUACUUUCAGUCGGGAGGCGUUACCGACAGAAGAAGCACCGGCUAACUCCGUGCCAGCAGCCGCGGUAAUAC